rnacentral:rRNA from 1 species
UGGCUCAGAACGAACGCUGGCGGCGUGGAUUAGGCAUGCAAGUCGAACGGGAUCCUGCAUCUUCAAUCCUUCGGGAAAGAAAAUGCAGGUGAGAGUGGCGGACGGGUGAGUAUCGCUUGAAUAAUCUGCCCCUAAAUCCGGGAUAGCCCACCGAAACGUGGAUUAAUACCGGGUGUGUUAAGCUUACGCAUGUAAGCUGAUAUAAAGGUGGGAUCCUUCGGGAUCCUAUCGUUUAGGGAUGAGUUUGAGUUCUAUCAGCUAGUUGGUGAGGUAACGGCUCACCAAGGCAAUGACGGAUAGCUGGUCUGAGAGGAUGAUCAGCCACACUGGGACUGAGACACUGCCCAGACUCCUACGGGAGGCUGCAGUCGAGAAUCAUUCGCAAUGCACGCAAGUGUGACGAUGCGACGCCGCGUGGAGGAAGACGGCCUUAGGGUUGUAAACUCCUGUCAUCAGUUAACAACACCCAUGUGAAUAAUACCGCAUGGUUUGAUAGUAGCUGAAGAGGAAGUCACGGCUAACUCUGUGCCAGCAGCCGCGGUAAUACAGAGGUGGCUAGCGUUGUUCGGAUUUACUGGGCUUAAAGGGUCCGCAGGCGGCAAGAUAUGUCGGAUGUGAAAUACCACGGCUUAACCGUGGAACUGCAUUCGAAACUAUCUUGCUAGAGUACAGGAGGGGAGAGGGGAAUUCUUAGUGUAGCGGUGAAAUGCGUAGAUAUUAAGAAGAACACCGGCGGCGAAGGCGCCUCUCUGGACUGAUACUGACGCUGAGGGACGAAAGCUAGGGUAGCAAGAGGGAUUAGAUAUCCCUAAUAGUCCUAGCUGUAAACGGUGUGCACUUGUUGUGGGAGGAA